rnacentral:lncRNA from 1 species
UUAUCAAUAAUCUUAACAACAGUCAUCUCAAAAGACCACUGUUCAAACACGAAUAAAUUAUAAUAUAAUAUCUUUGUUUUUGUAUGUAAAAUGAUAUGGUAGGCUUCCCGCAUUGGGCAUUUUUCAAAUUAAUCAACAUCCACUUGCAAUGGUUGUCUUUUUUUUCAUCCACUUUGCUAAAUAAGCCUUCCUCAUAUAAUACCUACAAAGCUACAAUAUAGGUUACAAACCUACUAUGCAAGUUUGUCUUAUUUGGAUUUAUAUUUUUCUAUAUAUACAUGUUGCCUUUGUUGAAGUGCAUUCCAUCCCCUGAACCCUCCAUACGCUCUCUUUGGUAUGUGAAUCACUUGAACCCUUCAUACUCUCUUCGCUAAGUGAACUGCUGUUGUUUUUUCUUUCUAUUAUUUAUGCAUAUCUAUAAAUUUGUCCUUCAUUCUGAGAUUUAUCUCCAUAAUUGUGCUCCAUGCUCUAAAUUUGUGAUGAUGCAAGUGGUCCAUUGGAGGAUAUAAAUCAACAAAUUUUGUUAUUGGUUUACACGUUUAACUCAUGGGACUCUUGAAGCAACCACACCAGCAACAUGAAACACACCAGAAAAAAUACACAAUUAGUCCCUAAGGUUUAAAUUUUAUUUUGAAAGGAAAGAUGGUUAAAGUGUGAAAGAAAUAUUGAAUCUUUUAAUGUUUAUGUAAUCUGUCCAAGUAGUAAAUAUAGUUUAACAAAAAGGUUCUCAUGUUUAUUCAAGAAUUCAGUCUAUCAAUUAUUGAGUAGUGUCUGAAGCAAACACACCAGCAACAUGUUAUAUUAAGUUUAAAUUUUGUAUUUUAAAUUAUAAAAUGCAAUCUAUCUAAACACACAUUUAAAAAAGAAAACUAACAGAUUUUCUGAGCAGUUCUUGCAUUCUAUUCCAGGUUGGUCCAAAAAAACUAACAGAUUUUGUAUUUACAACAUCCAAUAGUCCAAAAAAGUACAUAAACCAUGUAAAAUUGGAAGCAUUUUGCUUGAAUUAUCUCAUACUAUACUGCCAACAUGAACAUACUCCCAUCCAGACAUAAUCUGGAGCUUGUCUGAGCCACAACUUAUCUAAUUAUAUAAUUUUUGUAACAUAAGUCUGAUAUACUUUUCUGAUCAUAUGUAUAUCUGAAUACAUUCUACUGAGUAUAUAUUUCCUUAUACAUAAAUAUUAGGGUAUCUCUCAUGAUAAUGCAUUGUGCAAUUAAAUAUGUGUUUUAGCCUCAUUUUGCCAUCAGAAAUUCAUCCGGGAUUAAAAGGAAUGUUCGUACUUGAUUCAAUGGCAUUCUAAAUGAAAAAUCAAUGUUUUGUUGCGUAAAAAUUACAUUCCCGGGGUUGGUAAUCGAUUACCGGUAUGUGGUAAUCGAUUACCACAGUAAAACAUAUACUUAAAUCAUAGCAAGGCAAACAUAUACUUAAAUCGACACAACCAUCGUAUGGGGUACUAAUUAACUUAAUUUAAUCUAAGAUAAUUAUUUAUCUCACUCAAACAUAAUCAUAAACUAUCUAAAAGGUGGGUUCUACAACUAAAGGAACUCACCGCGACUUAUCUAACCACUUUCAACAGCUUAAGCUCCACCUUCAACUUAAGCCU